GUGGGGAAUUUUGGACAAUGGGCGCAAGCCUGAUCCAGCAAUGCCGCGUGCAGGAAGAAGGCCUUCGGGUUGUAAACUGCUUUUGUACGGAACGAAACGGUCCGGGUUAAUACCCUGGGCUAAUGACGGUACCGUAAGAAUAAGCACCGGCUAACUACGUGCCAGCAGCCGCGGUAAUACGUAGGGUGCAAGCGUUAAUCGGAAUUACUGGGCGUAAAGCGUGCGCAGGCGGUUUUGUAAGACAGGCGUGAAAUCCCCGGGCUCAACCUGGGAAGUGCACUUGUGACUGCAAGGCUGGAGUGCGGCAGAGGGGGAUGGAAUUCCGCGUGUAGCAGUGAAAUGCGUAGAUAUGCGGAGGAACACCGAUGGCGAAGGCAAUCCCCUGGGCCUGCACUGACGCUCAUGCACGAAAGCGUGGGGAGCAAACAGGAUUAGAAACCCGGGUAGUCC
rnacentral:rRNA from 1 species